rnacentral:rRNA from 1 species
CCUACGGGAGGCAGCAGUAGGGAAUAUUGCACAAUGGGGGAAACCCUGAUGCAGCGACGCCGCGUGAAGGAUGAAGUAUUUCGGUAUGUAAACUUCUAUCAGCAAGGAAGAAAAUGACAGUACUCGACUAAGAAGCCCCGGCUAAAUACGUGCCAGCAGCCGCGGUAAU